rnacentral:rRNA from 1 species
AUGGUUGUGUCUGCUGCUAUUCGGUCUGGCCGCUGCCGUCGGGGCCGUCCUCCUGGGAUUCGGGCAGCCGUUAUUGCCCACGUGCACCGUGCUGCCAGUCGCCUACCUUCGGAUUUGCCAUCGGCGACGGCAGCCGCUGGUGCGCGUGGUCGCCCGGGUGCAGUUGAUUCGGCAUGUCGUCCUCGGUUUGGUUCUCGCCGAGCGUUUCGUUCUUCCCGGAGUGCCGACCACCGAUUCGACUCGUGGCAUGGUGCCAAUCUGGACGUUGAUAGUCGCCGUCGGGAAAUUUUAUUAGGCAAGCGGCCUGUAGAUUGCACCAUUGGUGAGUGCAUUCAAUCUUUUGCUACGUGUAUGAGAGUGCCUGUGCGUGUUUCUGGUUGGUCCGUUGCGUUUCUCCAAGACUUUGCUGUUGGCAUGUCCCUCUACGACUCCUCGACCGUCGGGCCCCCGUUUUCCUUCCCGGAGCUGGCCACUCCAUCGCCCUUCCGACAGACGCAUCCCCUCCGCCUUCGCUUUGCGUAUAUGCUCCGAACCUGCCAUAUCAUGCUCGGCUAUGGCGGGAACGAGACGAUCGCCUGGGCCACCUCCCAUGGUCCUCGGCAACUCCAAAUAAGAGGAAGGACAGACGGCGUAGGAAAGGCGCGCGAUCGAGAGACGGCCGCCUCUGGCAUCACAAGACCUCGAUGUCGCCAUGGCAGUCAGACGCGUGAUGCGUCCGACAACGCGCCCUCACUCUCAGACAAGUUGCAGCCGUUCUCCGACGACGACGCUUGCGGCUUGCCCAGCCGCCCUACGCAGCCCUCCCGCCCUCAGCGUGCGAGAUGGGAGGCCGCCGCCUUGAGCUCGCGCCAGCCCUGCUGCAAGUCAGCCAUGGACGAGGUCGACCUGCACAGACGGGAGACGGCGCAGAGUGUUGGCCGCGCUUGCCGCCGUGGCGAUGGGCAUGGCCAGGCCAAUACGAUGAUGGACGAGAUGGUCUACAUCAUGAACAACAACCUAGCUGACUUCGCCCUGGGCACAGAAAGUGGCGGCAGCGUCAGGGUGCCCGCUGCCUAUUGCGGCAUCUGCAGGCUCCGGCCCUCCCACGGACUGGUGUGCACUGAAUAUGUCGUCCUGGUGGCACAUAUGUUCGACACUGUCGGUUUCAGUUAUGCUUAUGCGAUAUUUGCCCCGCGAUGGAGCCAGUCGAACGUAUGUUGCUUUCACUGCAGGGCCGGGUCGAGCUGUGGAAUGCCCUGGGGCUACUCACUAAAGCACUAUACUCCUCCUACUCAUUGUCUUUCUUCCCUUCGAGGUUUAGGACAGUUCGUAAUACGCGUCUUCGAUAGUAUGCACAUCUCCAAAACAGUAUCCUGCAUGAGCAUUGCAGAGGUGUGGACCAAAGACGUUGUCAUGAAGGGCUUGACAUAUUCCUCAAAAAAAAAGUGUGAGUUGAGUGCUUCAGAUUAUCUCAUGUUUUCAAGGCCUCAAAACAAUGAUCCAUGCAGCCCAUCAUUUUUUAUCUGA